GCAGUAGCUUAGUGGUAGAGGUCCUGCUUCGUAUGCGGGAGGACCUAGGUUCGAUUCCUGGCUGC
rnacentral:tRNA from 1 species